rnacentral:rRNA from 1 species
GAUGAACGCUGGCGGCGUGCCUAAUACAUGCAAGUCGAGCGAACAGACGAGGAGCUUGCUCCUCUGACGUUAGCGGCGGACGGGUGAGUAACACGUGGAUAACCUACCUAUAAGACUGGGAUAACUUCGGGAAACCGGAGCUAAUACCGGAUAAUAUAUUGAACCGCAUGGUUCAAUAGUGAAAGACGGUUUUGCUGCCACUUAUAGAUGGAUCCGCGCCGCAUUAGAUAGUUGGUAAGGUAACGGCUUACCAAGGCAACGAUGCGUAGCCGACCUGAGAGGGUGAUCGGCCACACUGGAACUGAGACACGGUCCAGACUCCUACGGGAGGCAGCAGUAGGGAAUCUUCCGCAAAGGGCGAAAGCCUGACGGAGCAACGCCGCGUGAGUGAUGAAGGUCUUCGGAUCGUAAAACUCUGUUAUUAGGGAAGAACAAAUGUGUAAGUAACUAUGCACGUCUUGACGGUACCUAAUCAGAAAGCCACGGCUAACUACGUG